GUCUACAGCCAUGCUACCCUAAACAAGACAAAUCUGAUCUCAGAAGCUAAGCAGGGUCAGGCCUGGGUUGUACUUGGAUGGGAGACCACCUAAGAAGACCAGGUGCUAUGGGCA
rnacentral:rRNA from 1 species